GUGGGCUCCUCAGCAAUGGGAGUCGAGGUUAUCCGGCCCCUUUUGUUGUAGAGUCCUUCUUUUUGGUAUGUGGGACAAGCACAGUACGAAGCUGGCACCACAGGCUACUGUUUCCUUUGCUAUAACCAGCAUGGGACCUGGAACAUGUGCCCCACAGAUCUGAGGACUGAUGGAGCUAACUGAUGACUGGUGUCUGGGAAGGCAGCAUGUUUGCCACCCUGUUCUCACUUCUGAAGGAGCUGAAAGAUUUAGUUUCCAAAGCCUCUGGCCAGAUCACACUCCCCCUCCCCGCAAGUGAAUGCCUGGGAAUCAUCUCUUUCUCACAGACAGGAAGCCCUUAUCUCACCAUGAAGACUUGGCAGCAAAGACUGGUAAAGAGGAAAGAACAAACUGGGAGUCAGUUUUCCUUUUGAUAAAUGUAUUCGCUGUAGAAAAUCGGAGUCCACUUCAAUAAAUG
rnacentral:lncRNA from 10 species